GGGCAGAUAGCUCAGUUGGUAGAGCACAGGACUGAAAAUCCUGGUGUGGAGAGUUCGAUUCUCUCUCUGCCCA
rnacentral:tRNA from 1 species